rnacentral:rRNA from 1 species
AGCGAACGCUGGCGGCAGGCUUAACACAUGCAAGUCGAGCGCCCCGCAAGGGGGAGCGGCAGACGGGAGAGUAACACGUGGGAACGUACCCUUUGGUUCGGAACAACCCAGGGAAACUUGGGCUAAUACCGGAUAAGUCCGUAAGGAGAAAGAUUUAUCGCCAAUGGAUCGGCCCGCGUCUGACUAGCUAGUUGGUGAGGUAAUGGCUCACCAAGGCGACGAUCAGUAGCUGGUCUGAGAGGAUGAUCAGCCUCACUGGGACUGAGACACGGCCCAGACUCCUACGGGAGGCAGCAGUGGGGAAUAUUGGACAAUGGGCGCAAGCCUGAUCCAGCCAUGCCGC